ACGAACAACCUGGUGUUGGCUGAGCUGGCCUUUUCGGAGGCAUGUGCACGGCCCACCAUUGUUUCAUCCUUCUCUUCCACCUGUGCACUUCAGUGGGCCCACUCCAGCACGCAUCUCGUGCGCUGGACUCUGGUGCCUACGUCUUACUAUCCACACCUUUGAAUGUUUAGAAUGCAUGAAUGGGGCACUCUUGCCCAUAAAACCUUAUA
rnacentral:misc_RNA from 1 species